GGCGCCGGGGGCCCCGGUGCCGGGGGACAAGCCCAAGCGGAGGUACCGGCAGAAGCUGAAGAAGUACGGCAAGAACGUUGGGAAGGCCAUCGCCAAAGGCUGCCACUACGUGGUCAUCGGCCUGCAGGGCUUCGCCGCCGCCUACUCCGCCCCGUUCGCCGUGUCCACCAGCGUGGCGUCCGUUGUCCGCUAGCGGGAGCCGCAAGGGCCCGGCGCCUGCAGAACCACGGAGGCCUCUGCCCUCGGAGCCCUGCAAACCCGGAGCACAGCGGACUUGAAGCCACACAAUACCUGGAAGAAAAACAGUCUUUCCCGUUCGAAUCGGAUGCGUCCUGUGAAUGGAUCCUCUCUGCCCGUCUGCUGAACUUUCCCACGCCUCUCUCUCUCUCUUGGACUCGGGUGGCUCCGCUGGACAGUCCCGCGGAGAAUUAGGCUGAUGUUGGUUGGGGGUCGGAGUUCAGUUUGCUCACCCUGGAGCCCGGCAGGGCUGGCUGGUGUGGAGGCAAAGCCUUACUAGUGGGAGCACCGUGGUGACGAUGGGGAGGAGGGCUUGUAGUGAGAGAAUUUGCUACAUUCUACCCGGGCAGGUCGCAGGCCUCCGGGCGCUCACAGCCCUCGGCAGCCCAGUUUGCUCCUGACGUCAGGCGCCCCCAUCUCCUCCUCCGCCCUUUGUCGCCAGGAGUUUAAGUUCGGGCUUGAGAAGAAAGAAGUGACAUCUCUUUGAAGGCCAUGACACUUUGGAGCUGGGUUGACAUGCGUCGUGACUAUUUAAAGUAGAUCAAUGCUUGUCAGUUGUCAGAGUGACAUGAAGGUGCAGGGGGGUGAGGGGAGGAGGAAGGGCAAGUUCAGGUGCAGGUGCAUGGUGAGGAAGGGUGGCGAGGGAGUGUGCUCCUGGGCACUGGCCGGACUCACCUGCAUGCAUGUGGCUGGCGAUGUCACGGGCCUCCUGACUCGGGCGCCAGCAGCGUCUCUGGGCCAAGCCAUCGGAGGGAGCGUUGUCCUGGGAGCAAAGGAGAUGCUACAUGUGGGAAUGAAAGCGUAGGCUUUAGAGAAGGAACCGGUAAGUAGGAGACAGGCGCGGAAAGGAAGUAGAAACAGGACCAGAAGGAGGUUGGAGGAGAGAAGGGGAGAGUCGGGACCCAGAUCUGGGUUCUGGGCUUUGGGAAAUCUUCGCUGGGCGGGGCCUUUGGCUCCAGGAAGGAGCCCGGGAAGCUUGAUGGCUUCUGAGCUCACGUUGUCUGCCUUGGUGGCAUCCUUCCCUCUUCCAUGCUGCCCACUCUGACCACAUCUCACCUGGACUCUAAGGUUAGGGUGAGCGUGGUCCCGACACCCCCCAGCAUGACCCAGUGACUGGCUGGACCCCUGGAGAGGGAGGUGGAAGAAAGAGGAGGUCCCUCACCCCAUGCCCUCGGCCAGAUCCACCAUUGGCCACUGUCCUGACUUUGUUUCUGGAAUCUCUGAAACUCCAAAGUAGUUAUAGCUGUAGGAUCAGUGGCAACACCUACCUGUUGCCCCUAGAAGUUUCCAGGCCAUGCAAAGGAGACUCACAUUUCAAGCCCAACCAGGUAGCACUGUGGAGUGGAGAAGGUGGGAAGACAGACAGAUGGACAGAAAAGGAAAUGGGUCGGGGAGAAAGUUGUAGCUGGGAAGCUAAGACUUGGAGGCUCAUGGUGAGUUGAACUUGGAUCCAAUUCCAGCAUCACUAGUGUCUUCACACAUGAAGACAUUGCGGCAUGCCUGGCCCCACUGGGAGCUGAGGGGUGGUGGGAGGGAGAGGUGGGGAAGGAGGGGAUGGACGGACGGAUGGACGGAUGGAUGGACGGAUGAUGAAUGGGAAAGAAAAAGCAGAGCAGUGGUUAGUGGGAGAGUUGAGCCUGGUGAUCCCAGGAAGGGAAGGAGGGAGGGAAGGAGGGAGGGAGGGGUGGGUGGGUUGCUGGGAGUGGUCCAGGGAUGCUGACACCCACUGGGUCCCUGGGGAAAUGGAAACUGAAAGGCGACCCCAGGAAGGACAAGAGCUACGGAGGCCUAUGUCAGAAGACCUUCCCCGUCUUGCGCCGCCCCCCUCCUCCCCCUAUCACCCCCAUUUUAGAGACACCAUCAGACCAAGUUCCUUUGGCUCUGAACUUCGGGAAGCCUGGUUAGGAAUUAACCCAGGAAUUCCAAAAGUCAAAACCUCACAGGGACUGUGCCCGGCGCCAGAUUCCUGAGUCAGAAGAUGAACUUCAGACUCGCUCAGCCCGAGUUCUCCCGACUCCCCGAGGGGCCACCCAAGCUGCCAGCGACCUUUUUCGCCUUUUCUUUCUCUUCAGUUUCUUUCAAAUAUCCAGGCCCCACCCUACUGAGUAUGGGGUGUUAGCGCUUUUUUCCUGUAUGUUUGACUCCAAGGCUGCUUUUGUAUCCCGAUCUCGCCCGAUUAUGUAAAUAAAAACCCCAGUUGGUUUAA